UGGCGGGCGAAGCAGGAACCGCCGUUCUGUGAGGCGGUGAGGCCGGAGUGGAUCUUGACACUCCUGCUCUCCGCUUGUUUUCCGGUCCUGUCCCCGCGGCGGAAGCGUGAGCCGCCCAGGGCGCUGCGGCCGAGGCCUUCAUCAAGGCUAUAGGCACAGGCCGCAGAGCUUGAGUGAGAAAUUCUCCAGAAAUAGCUAGAACGUCGAUGCUGGAAAGGACGCUGUGGUCAUCCAGUCCAUCUGGUUACCUGCAGUGCGUAGACUCAGGUUUCCUCAUCUCUUGCUUAUGGGUAUCACGAUCUUCAUUAUAUUUCAUUAUAUAUCGCUUUUGGGUAGGUGUUCUUGGCAUUUGUCAUAUAUCUGAAGCCUCUGGCCUUUAAUAAACUUAAUACUUUUCUGUA